rnacentral:rRNA from 1 species
CCCUUAGAUGUCCUGGGCCGCACGCGUGCUACACUGAUGCAUACAGCGAGUACUCCCAGCUCCGAGAGGCUGCUGGUAAUCAGCAAUAUGCAUCGUGAUGGGGAUAGAUCUUUGGAAUUAUAGAUCUUGAACGAGGAAUUCCUAGUAAUCGCAGGUCAUCACCCUGCGUUGACUAAGUCCCUGCCCUUUGUACACACCGCCCGUCGCUCCUACCGAUUUCGAGUGAUCCGGUGAAUCAUUCGGACCGCGGCCCCUAGGCAUGCGGAAAGUCUAGUAAACCAUAUCACUUAGAGGAAGGAGAAGUCGUAACAA